UACGGAGGGUGCAAGCGUUAAUCGGUAUUACUGGGCGUAAAGCGCACGCAGGCGGUUGGAUAAGUUAGAUGUGAAAGCCCCGGGCUCAACCUGGGAAUUGCAUUUAAAACUGUCCGGCUAGAGGCUUGUAGAGGGGGGUAGAAUUCCAGGUGUAGCGGUGAAAUGCGUAGAGAUCUGGAGGAAUACCGGUGGCGAAGGCGGCCCCCUGGACAAAGACUGACGCUCAGGUGCGACAGCGUGGGGAGCAAACAGG
rnacentral:rRNA from 1 species